UGGGGAAUAUUGGACAAUGGGCGAAAGCCUGAUCCAGCCAUGCCGCGUGUGUGAAGAAGGUCUUCGGAUUGUAAAGCACUUUAAGUUGGGAGGAAGGGCAUUAACCUAAUACGUUAGUGUUUUGACGUUACCGACAGAAUAAGCACCGGCUAACUCUGUGCCAGCAGCCGCGGUAAUACAGAGGGUGCAAGCGUUAAUCGGAAUUACUGGGCGUAAAGCGCGCGUAGGAGGUUUGUUAAGUUGGAUGUGAAAUCCCCGGGCUCAACCUGGGAACUGCAUUCAAAACUGACUGACUAGAGUAUGGUAGAGGGUGGUGGAAUUUCCUGUGUAGCGGUGAAAUGCGUAGAUAUAGGAAGGAACACCAGUGGCGAAGGCGACCACCUGGACUAAUACUGACACUGAGGUGCGAAAGCGUGGGGAGCAAACA
rnacentral:rRNA from 1 species